AAAGUUUUCCAUUUUAGUGUGAAGCUGUCGAGCCACUGGAAACUCAGAGAAAAACAGUGGCGAGGAAGACUAGAGAAAGCAUGUGAAUCCUGGCAGCUCAGAGGACUUUGUACGUCUGGGCAAUCCGGAACAAGUAACCACGAUGGCACUAUCUAGGCAAGGUGUCCUAGAACGGUUCACUGGGAUCUAAUGAGCCUGAGCUGAUGGCAGCUGUUUCCGAAGGAAAAGAGCAGCUAGAACAAUUCUCUUCCCAUCAAGUCUUGUCAGACCUUCCGGGAUCCUAACUCAGCUCACAAUGGCCUCUUGGGGAGCAAAGAAGCCCAGCAGAAGAAGGAGAAAGGAGUCAGGAAGGAAGGAAGGAGGCCCAACCCAACUCCAGAGAGACACGGUCACCCCACCCCUUACCCAUACCAAACCAGCAGGGCCCUGCUCACUGCUCCCCCUGGAGGCUUGAAACUGGAUCAAGGAGGACCACAACAGAGACAAAGCUGGGUGUGCUGGGUGAGUUCCCAGGGAAGUCAGCCUGCUUGCCCAGCCCAGAAGAAACUUACACCUAGUGCGGAAGCCAGCCUAGAGCUGUCCAAAUAAGCAAUGGCCAUGUUGCUUUUCGAAACAGUGCCAAGUUUACUGAAACCUUUCAUGGUCUAAGUAAAUACUAAGAGGAAAGUUCACAUCAAGAGAAAUUAUAGCUCUAGGACGUGAUGCUCUGCUGCCAUAGGGAGGUGUGGGCAGCUCUCAUGGGCGAUGGAUGCAGAUAUGGGCUGCUCUGGAGCUUUCUCCUCCCCACUGUGCUUGUUGUGUGGAGGAACCUGAAACUCUCAACAUAUUCAAAACUACAUAAUUCUCACUCUCUUCUGACCUUCCCUUCCACUGGCUACAGAGUGCCCACGAGCUACAGGCAUUCAAGCUCUUUUUCAGCAUCCCCUCACGGAUGCACUAU